rnacentral:lncRNA from 1 species
AAUCCUCAAUUUGAAAAUGACAAAGUAAUUUUUGAGCUUAAAAGUGAUAGGAUUCUUAAGGACUUAUACCAAGACCAAGUGAAAGAGGCUAGUACUGAUGCUAGCCAAAAAAAAAAUUUAAAAGAGGAGAUUAGUACUAAGACUAACCUGAUAGAAGAACCUGAGUUCAAAAUUAUUACUGAUCUAAGUGAUAAAAAGAAG